GGUGGUCGUCAGUUUGGACUGGAGGAUGUUGCAGCUGCUCUUGAUGGAUUUAGGUAGUGUCCAGUUGUCGAUUGCCACUUGGAUCAUCAUUACUUGAAGAGAAGUAUAUUCAUGGCCCAUAGUGCUUAUUGAUGAAAAACUGCUGGUCUUGGCAAAGUAGAGGUUUUUUGUAGUUAUCCUGAUCUUAUAAAUCUUGCCAAGAUGGUAAAUGACUCGGAUGAGCGAAAGAGAACUUGACAAUGUUGCAUGUACAGUUUUUAUCUCGGAUGGGUAAUCUGCUUAUAGCCACAUACUCACAUCACAUGGCAUACAAAGAAAGGCUGUUUGGUUCCCCUUUUCCAUGGAAGGUUAGAAGCAAGAUGCCUGGUAAUAGGUGCAACAUGAAGUUUAUAUACCUGUGUUCUGCCUGCAAAAUUUAUCUGGGUAAUACUUUAGAUCAAAACACGUGAUGUACAUCCAAUCAUGGGUAUAGUUUGUUGAUAUCCACCCUUCUGUUUGUAAAAACCUCCCAAAUCCCAUCUCAUAACCCUCUUUAGACGUGGUUGGCCCAUGAAUGAAUUGCUCUAUAUAAUGAUUACUUUUAUCUGAUUGAUGUAUAAUACAUGAGCAUAAUAUCUC
rnacentral:lncRNA from 1 species